AUUGAACGCUGGCGGCAUGCUUUACACAUGCAAGUCGAACGGCAGCACAAACUUCGGUUUGGUGGCGAGUGGCGAACGGGUGAGUAAUGCAUCGGAACGUGUCCUGAAGUGGGGGAUAACGCAUCGAAAGAUGCGCUAAUACCGCAUAAUCUCUGAGGAGAAAAGUGGGGGAUCGAAAGACCUCAUGCUUUUGGAGCGGCCGAUGUCUGAUUAGCUAGUUGGUGGGGUAAAGGCCUACCAAGGCAACGAUCUGUAGUUGGUCUGAGAGGACGACCAGCCACACUGGGACCGAGACACGGCCCAGACUCCUACGGGAGGCAGCAGUGGGGAAUUUUGGACAAUGGGCGCAAGCCUGAUCCAGCAAUGCCGCGUGCAGGAUGAAGGCC
rnacentral:rRNA from 1 species